AACGAACGCUGGCGGCAGGCCUAAAACAUGCAAGUCGAACGAACCGCAAGGUUAGUGGCGCACGGGUGAGUAACACGUGGGAAUGUGCCUCUGGGUACGGAACAAAGUCGGGAAACUGACGCUAAUACCGUAUAAUGUCUACGGACCAAAGAUUUAUCGCCCAGAGAUCAGCCCGCGUCUGAUUAGCUAGUUGGUGAGGUAACGGCUCACCAAGGCGACGAUCAGUAGCUGGUCUGAGAGGAUGAUCAGCCACACUGGAACUGAAACACGGUCCAUACUCCUACGGGAGGCAGGAGUUAGGAAUAUUGGACAAUGGGGGAAACCCUGAUCCAGCCAUGCCGCGUGUGUGAAGAAGGCCUUAGGGUUGUAAAGCACUUCCGGCUGUGAAGAUAAUGACAGUAGCAGAAGAAGAAGCUCCGGCUAAAUUCGUGCCAGCCGCCGCGGGUAA
rnacentral:rRNA from 1 species